UACGAAGGGGGCUAGCGUUGCUCGGAAUGACUGGGCGUAAAGGCGCGUAGGCGGAUGGCACAGUCAGAUGUGAAAUUCCCGGGCUUAACCUGGGGGCUGCAUUUGAUACGUGUUGUCUUGAGUUCGGAGGAGGGUCGUGGAAUUCCCAGUGUAGAGGUGAAAUUCGUAGAUAUUGGGAAGAACACCGGUGGCGAAGGCGGCGACCUGGUCCGACACUGACGCUGAGGCGCGAAAGCGUGGGGAGCAAACAGG
rnacentral:rRNA from 1 species